rnacentral:lncRNA from 1 species
UAUAUAUAUAUAUAUAUAUAGAGUGAGGCUACUAUGCUAUCGGAAGCAAUGGCCUUCCGUGCUUCCAGCUCGUUUCGAUGUUGCGACUUUCGAAUCGCUCGAUCGGCUCCGUUAAACUUGAUCUAGAGUAUUCUGAAGUACUAGAAAAUAAAUUUAUGAUUUACGAUAUCAUUUGCCUGUGAACGAAGGGCUCAAAAUCAACGGAUGAAAAUAAAAAUCUUACAAAAAUGUAAUAAUAGACAUUGAAAUUUUAAAUCAAAGAUAUGAUCUUGUUUUAUAUAGUAUAAGAAUUUUCUAUCAAAAUUUCAUGUGAUUUGGAUAUUUCUACACCCGUUAAACUUGCAAACGCUCACUACGGCAUUGAAAUUUGUUGAUUUUGAGCCCAUUCGAUCACUAGGCAAUUGAUAUCGAAAAAUAAUAAAAUUUAUUUUCUAGGUACUCCAAAUACUCUAGAUCAAGUUAACGGAGCCGAUCGACGAUUCGAAAGUCACAACAUCGAAAACGAGCUGGAAGCACGGAAGGCUCCGUGCUUCCUAUAGCAAGUAGCCUCACCUCUAUAUAUAUAUAUAUAUAUAUAUAUAUAUAUAUAUAUAUAAUAUUAGGUCUUGUGUGCUAUUAGGAGCACAGAGGCCUCCGUGCUCCCUAACCGUUUUCAAAUGAUAGAGUUUUCGAAUCGACGAUCAGCUCCGUUAGAUUUGAUCUAACAUAUUUGAAGUAUCUGGAAAAUAAAUUUUGCGGUUUUUCGAUAUUAUUUACUUACUAAUCGAAAGGGUUUAAAAUCAACAAUUUUUAAUGGUUGAUGUAUACCGUUUGCAAAUUUAACAGGUGUAGAAGUAUUCAAACCAGAUGAAAUUUUGAUAGAAAAUUCUUUAUAACUAUUUACAGCAAGAUCAAUUCUUGAUUGAAAUUUAGUGCUAUAUCACACCACUUUUUUGUGAAUUUUUAUUUUCAGCCGUUGAUUUUGAAUCCUUUUCGAUCGCUAGUAAAUGAUAUCGAAAAAUCGUAAAAUUUAUUUUCUAGAUACUUCAAAUAUUCUAGAUCAAGUCUAAUGAGCCGAUCGUCGACUUCGGAAGCUCCAUCAUCGAAACACGCUUAGAGUACGGACCUCCCGUGCUCCUAAUAACACACAAACCUGCUAUAUAUAUAUUAUAUAUAUAUAUAUAGAUAAGAGGAGAGAGAGAGAGAGAGAGAGAGAGAGAGAGAGAGAGAGAGAGAGAGUAGGGCUACUAUACUCUUAUGAGUAUAGAAUCCUUACUACUCAUAAGUUGUUUUCGAUGUUGGAGUUUUCGAAUCGACGAUCGACACCAUUAAACAUGAUCUAGAGUAUUUGAAACUUCAAGAAAAUAAAUUUUAUAAACUUUCGAAAUCAUUAUAAAGUCCAUCAAGCAAGUAUAAAAUGAACGUUUAAAAUCGAAUGACAUCCUAAAAAUGAAUGAUCAAAUCCUUCAAUUUAAGAUCGGAGUUAUUGAUCUUUAUUUAGGUAGUGAAUUGAAUUUUCUAUCAAAAAUUCAACCUUUUUCGAUUCUUUUUCACCGUUAAACUAGCAAAUAUCUCAUACCGGCCGUAAAAAAUUGUCAAUUUUGUGACCGUUUGAUAGUAAGGUAAAAGAUAUCGAAAAAUUAUAAAAUUUAAUUUCUAGAAGUUUUAAAUGCUCUAGAUAAUGCUUAAUAGUAUGGAUCGUCGAUUCGGAAGCUCUAUCAUCGAAAAUAACUUAUGAGUAUGAUAACUUAUGAGUAUGAGGACGAUCGUACUUAUAAGAGUAUAG